AAUAUUGGACAAUGGGGGCAACCCUGAUCCAGCCAUGCCGCGUGUGUGAAGAAGGUCUNCGGAUUNUNAAGCACUUUAAGUUGGGNGAGAGGGCUUUAGGUUAAUACCUUACUGUUUUGACGUUACCGACAGAAUAAGCACCGGCUAACUCUGUUCCAGCAGCCGCGGUAAUAAAGAGGGUGCAAGCGUUAAUCGGAAUUACUGGGCGUAAAGCGCGCGUAGGUGGUUCAGUAAGAUGGGUGUGAAAUCCCCGGGCUUAACCUGGGAACUGCUUUCAUAACUGCUGAGCUAGAGUACGGUAGAGGGUAGUGGAAUUUCCUGUGUAGCGGUGAAAUGCGUAGAUAUAGGAAGGAACACCAGUGGCGAAGGCGACUACCUGGACUGAUACUGACACUGAGGUGCGAAAGCGUGGGGAGCAAAC
rnacentral:rRNA from 1 species